UCUCGAUAAAGGCAAAGCUGAUGAAAAUCAGUGACGCAAAGCUACAGGGGCUACAAUGCAUACGUGCAUUAUGCCAGCCAGCUACCGAA
rnacentral:ncRNA from 1 species